rnacentral:rRNA from 1 species
UACGUAGGGUGCGAGCGUUGUCCGGAAUUAUUGGGCGUAAAGAGCUCGUAGGCGGUCUGUCGCGUCGAUCGUGAAAACUUGGGGCUUAACCCUGAGCUUGCGGUCGAUACGGGCAUGACUGGAGUUCGGCAGGGGAGACUGGAAUUCCUGGUGUAGCGGUGAAAUGCGUAGAUAUCAGAAGGAACAUCAGUGGCGAAGGCGGCUUCCUGGACCAAUACUGACGAUCAGGUGCGAAAGCGUGGGGAGCAAACAGG